GACGAACCGUGCGAACGUUAUUCGGAAUCACUGGGCUUAAAGCGCGUGUAGGCGGGACGGCACGUCGGUCGCUGAAAGCCCCCGGCUCAACCGGGGAAGUGGCACCGAUACGACCGCCCUGGAGGGACGUAGGGGGACCUGGAACUUCCGGUGGAGCGGUGAAAUGCGUUGAGAUCGGAAGGAACGCCCGUGGCGAAAGCGAGGUCCUGGACGUUUUCUGACGCUGAGACGCGAAAGCCAGGGGAGCGAACGGG
rnacentral:rRNA from 1 species